GGCUUCGCUCCUGGGGAGCCAGAAGCAUGGAAUCAGGUCCGCGUGGUGGAGGGUUUGGGGCAGGGGCGGGUAAAUAUGAGGAAAGGGCCAGACAGUGAAUAUUUUAGGGUUUGUGGCUGUGCAACUCUGCUGUUGUAGUGCAGAAGCAGCCGUGGGUGAUACCUGGGCAAAUGGGCCUGGCUGUGUUCCCAUGAAAAUGCAUUUACUAUAACAGAUGCCAAGAGGAUUAGGCCACCAACUUUGGCGUGUGCUCUUCGGGCCUGCCGUCUAACAGAAUGAGGGUUCCAGCGGUGUUCGCAUCAUCAGACGUCUAGUGUUCUGCACAUAAAACAAGCUCUUGAGGUCAGGAGACAACAUGCAAUCUAGCAGGCAGGUAGCUCGUGAAGCGUCUCAUCUCCCAGCAUAACAAGUGCUUCUCCAUCCAUAUGUACAGAAUUCCACUCUCCAGGUGGGAACGUUGUGAUGGAAUACGCUCUGAGAGAUAGAGGAGGCGACUUCUGCCAGGAGUGAUCAGGAGGACUUCUUGGAGGAGGCAGCACUUGAGCUGGUCUUGAAAGAUGAUGAGAUUUUAAUGGGAAAAGAGAUGAUCGAGAAGAACCUUCUAGCAGGAGGGAGCUGCCCUAGCAAAGACAGGAAGGCUGGAAAAUGCGAGAAGUGGGACAGGAAGAUCAACACAGGACCUCUCCCUUCUGAGCCAAACUGACACCUACCUCUUGCCAUGACAGGCCGCUCUUCUGGAGAUUAUAAACUAUUUAUUUUUAACAGAGAAACUGCCUUAGUUGGAGUUCUGGCUCUGCCACUUACUUAGGUAAGAAAGAACUUCUUGGGCCUCAGGCCCUCACCUGUAAAAGGGGCUGAAUAAUAGGAUUGUGCCUCUCUCCAAUGGGCUGUUAGAGGUUGGACUGCAUGCCCCCAAUACUCUUAUGCUGAGGCCUAACCCGGUGUGACUGCACAUGGAGACAGGGUGUGUAGGGAGGGGAUGAAGCUUAAGUGAGGCCACAGGGGAGGCCCAACCCUGUAGAGUCGUGUCUUUAUAAGGAGUGAAAGAGACACCAUUGCUUGCUUCUCUCCUGUGGGCAGAGGAAAGGCCAGGUGAGGACACAGGCAGGAGGUGCCCCCGCAGCCUCAGGCAGAGCCCUCACCACGCCAGCCCUGCUGACGCCUUGAUCUUGGACUCCCAGGCGUCUGCUGCAUAAGCCACCCCGUCCGACGUACUUUCCCAUGGCAGCUUGAGCAGAAUGAGACUGGGGCUUUGGAAGAAGGAACUUCACAUGUGAGGAGCUUGGAGAGUGGGACGUGCCAUGUGUGCACAUGUGCUGCUGGUGGUUGGUGUUAUUGUUAUUAUCAGGAGUGGCGUAUUCCCAGCCUCUGGAAGCUCACCUCGUGGUUUUCUUUCUUCUUCCACUUUUCGUUUUUUAGAUCAUGUCUGCCCUUAGCCUGACAUCCCCGCCAUGUAGGGCUCCAGGACUGCUGUGGCCUCAGCCCUUCCGGGCUCCAGGAGGCCCUGAUUCAUUGCUCUCCCCUCCCCCCUUGGCUGGCCUAGGUGCCUUGUCCUCUUUCUUGGGACGGUGCUCACUGACGGGCCCCAUGGGAGGAGGGAGACACGGCCAGCUGCCAUGCG
rnacentral:lncRNA from 1 species